UCCGGAGGGGGCGCUAGGUGCGCCUGCGCACCCGGUGCCUGUCGGUUGCUGGGUAACCGCGUCAGGGAGGAGCUGAUGCUGUUCUACAAGGGCGCGAGGACCCACAACGUCAGCUGUCCCCGAAGAACCCUGGUGACUGGGAAUUGAAGUGGAAGAGAGUCUGCACUUCCUGUGUGUGGUCAAGAAGGAGAAACUACUCCCCAGGAGAGGAAGCGUUUUGUAGGUUUUUCAGGGUGUGAGGUGCUUUCUAUUCUUGCGGCAAUGCCCUCGAAACAGAUUCGUAAGCAGAGCAUCAGUGUAACCAGAGGAGCCAGGAGACGAGAUGAAGAUUCAGGGACUGAUGUGGGAGAAGGAACUGAUGAAUGGUCCCAAUCCAAAGCCACCGUGCGACCCCCUGACCAGCUGGAGCUGACCGAUGCGGAGUUAAAGGAGGAGUUCACUCGGAUCCUGACAGCCAACAACCCACAUGCACCCCAGAAUAUUGUCAGGUACAGCUUCAAAGAGGGCACAUAUAAACUUAUUGGUUUUGUGAACCAAAUGGCGGUUCACUUCAGCCAGGUGGGGAACCUGAUACCCAAAGACUCAGAUGAAGGCCGUCGCCAGCACUACCGUGAUGAGAUGGUGGCAGGUUCACAGGAGUCUAUCAAGGUGGUGACUUCAGAAGCAGAAAACCUUGAAGAAGAGGAAGAACCCAAAGAAGGAGAAGGAGAAGCAGAAGCAGAAGCAGAAGCCGGGAGCCAAACGGACAUCCCUGCUGCAGCUGAGACAACUGAAAAGGUGAUUGAAGAAGAGCUGAUGGCUCCUGUGCAGCCCAAGGAACGGAAGCUCACGAACCAGUUUAACUUCAGUGAGAGAGCAUCCCAGACCUUCAACAACCCCCUCCGGGAUCGAGAGUGUCAGAUGGAGCCUCCACCGAGGACGAACUUUUCAGCCACAGCCAAUCAGUGGGAAAUCUAUGAUGCCUAUGUAGAUGAGCUCGAGAAACAGGAAAAGACCAAAGAGAAGGAGAAGGCAAAGACUCCAGUGGCUAAGAAAACAGAGAAGAUGGCCAUGAGGAAACUGACAUCUAUGGAGUCCCAGAGUGAUGAUAUCACCAAAGUGACCCAAGCUGCUAAAAUCGUGGAGCGAAUGGUCAACCAAAAUACGUAUGAUGAUGUUGCUCAAGAUUUUAAGUACUAUGAGGAUACUGCUGAUGAAUACAGGGACCAGGAGGGUACGCUGCUGCCUCUCUGGAAGUUUCAAAAUGACAAAGCCAAGCGCCUGGCAGUCACCGCCCUCUGCUGGAAUCCAAAGUACAAGGAUCUUUUUGCAGUGGGACACGGCUCCUAUGACUUCAUGAAACAGAGCCGUGGCAUGCUGCUGCUCUACAGCAUGAAGAACCCUAGCUUUCCCGAGUACAUGUUCAGCAGUGAGAGUGGCAUCAUGUGUCUGGACGUGCACGUGGACCACCCGUACCUGGUGGUCGUGGGCUACUAUGAUGGCAACGUGGCCAUCUACAACCUCAAGAAGCCCCACUCGCAGCCCUGCUUCCGCAGCACCUCCAAGUCUGGCAAGCACACGGACCCUGUAUGGCAGGUCAAGUGGCAGAAGGAUGACAUGGACCACAACCUCAACUUCUUUUCUGUGUCGUCCGAUGGCAGGAUAGUGUCAUGGACCCUCGUCAAGAGCGAGCUGGUUCACAUCGACAUUAUCAAGCUGAAGACUGAAGGCAGCACUACAGAAAUCCCCGAGGGGCUGCAGUUGCACACUGCUGUGGCACUGCCUUUGACUUCCACAAAGAGAUCGACUACAUGUUCCUGGUGGGCACAGAAGAGGGAAAAAUCUACAAGUGCUCCAAAUCCUACUCCAGCCAGUUCUUGGACACCUAUGAUGCUCACAACAUGGCAGUAGACGCUGUGCUAUGGAACCCAUACCACACCAAGGUCUUCAUGUCCUGCAGCUCUGACUGGACAGUGAAGAUCUGGGACCACACCAUCAAGUGAGGGGCCUGUCUGGGCCCUGCCUGCCCCACACUCUCCCCUCAGCUCUGACACUGUGACCCCCUUUGUGUUAUGGGCUUGUCCCUUCUGCUACUGCAGGACCCCCAUGUUCAUUUAUGAUCUGAACUCAGCCGUGGGUGACGUGGCCUGGGCACCGUACUCUUCCACUGUGUUUGCAGCAGUCACCACGGACGGGAAGGCCCAUGUGUUUGACUUAGCGGUCAACAAGUAUGAAGCUAUCUGCAACCAGCCUGUGGUAGCCAAGAAGAAGAACAAGAUCACCCACGUGCAGUUCAAUCCCAUCCACCCCAUCAUAAUCGUGGGCGACGACCGUGGCCACAUCAUCUGUCUCAAGCUCUCUCCCAACUUGCGAAAGAUGCCAAAGGAGAAGAAGGGGCAGGAAGUGCAGAAGGGGCCAGCUGUGGAGAUCGCAAAAUUGGACAAACUGCUAAACCUCGUGAGGGAAGUAAAAACCAAAACCUGAGAGUCUGGCCCAGACCCUGCUCCGUGUUCUGAACCCAAUACAAGCAAGGACGUGCCUCACCCUGACCAAUCCCAGUAUUUGCUUUUCUCAUUCUGGCUCUUAAGGGCAUGCCACCUUUCUCCAUGGCCCUCAGCCUCCAUUAUACCCUCUUUGCACAAAUAAAGGCCAGCUGGACACUCA